rnacentral:rRNA from 1 species
GGCUCAGAACGAACGCUGGCGGCGUGCUUAACACAUGCAAGUCGAACGAACCUUCGGGUUAGUGGCGGACGGGUGAGUAACGCGUGAGAAUCUGCCCUCAGGAGGGGGAUAACGGUUGGAAACGACCGCUAAUACCCCAUAUGCCGAGAGGUGAAAAGAAAUUCGCCUGAGGAUGAGCUCGCGUCUGAUUAGCUAGUUGGUGUGGUAAUGGCGCAGCAAGGCUUCGAUCAGUAGCUGGUCUGAGAGGAUGAUCAGCCACAUUUUUUCUGAGACACGGACCAGACUCCUACGG